CAACAUGGCUUUUAUUCACAUGAUGAGGGAGUGUUUUGUCGAAUGCUCGGAUUGAGGCAUGCUUCUAAUAACAACUGGAGAUCGUGGACAGGAAAAGCAUUCAUAUCCAAGCUCACAUGUGCUUCCGACGCGGCUCAUGUAAAUGCUUGCAACUACAGCAGGGCGAUUAAGGCGUGUUAUGGAUAUGGUGUUUCUUGUAAAGGUUUUCCUUUAAAUAUCAGCUCCACACAACUUGUAGGUGGAUCGAACGAGCGGUACGGCCGUGUUGAACUGCAUGUUGAUAACAAGACCGGUAUAGUUUGUU